AGGAGACAGGAGGGAUGUUCAGUGGGAUAUUCAAAAAGCCAAAGCCUCUCGGAGCAAGGACAAAAUCUCAGGAUGAUUUGUCUGCAGCCAGCGAGCUCUCAGGCAGCAAUGACAAUCUGUCUGAAAACACUAAGGACAAAGGAGGAAUCUUUAGUGGUGUGUUCAAGAAAAAAAU